UACGAAGGGGGCUAGCGUUGUUCGGAUUGACUGGGCGUAAAGGGCGCGUAGGCGGCUUGUACAGUCAGACGUGAAAUUCCUGGGCUCAACCUGGGGGCUGCGUUUGAUACGUAUGGGCUUGAGUUCGGAAGAGGGUCGUGGAAUUCCCAGUGUAGAGGUGAAAUUCGUAGAUAUUGGGAAGAACACCGGUGGCGAAGGCGGCGACCUGGUCCGAUACUGACGCUGAGGCGCGAAAGCGUGGGGAGCAAACAGG
rnacentral:rRNA from 1 species